UACGGAGGGUGCGAGCGUUGUCCGGAAUCAUUGGGCGUAAAGGGCGCGUAGGUGGCCCGGUCAGUUCGUGGUGAAAGCGCGGGGCUCAACCCUGCGUCGGCCAUGAAUACUGCCGCGGCUGGAGCACUGUAGAGGCAGGCGGAAUUCCGGGUGUAGCGGUGGAGUGCGUAGAGAUCCGGAAGAACACCGGUGGCGAAGGCGGCCUGCUGGGCAGUUGCUGACACUGAGGCGCGACAGCGUGGGGAGCAAACAGG
rnacentral:rRNA from 1 species